GGCGACACUCGAUAGGGAU
rnacentral:miRNA from 1 species